rnacentral:rRNA from 1 species
GUCUAUGGCCAUACCAGCAUGAAUGCCAUUGACCCUGUCUUCUCUCCGAAGCUAAGCAGGGUCGGGCCUGGUUAGCACUUGCAUGGGCGACCGCCUGGGAAUACCGUGUGCUGUAGGCU